rnacentral:rRNA from 1 species
GUACGGGAGGCAGCAGUGGGGAAUCUUGCGCAAUGGGGGAAACCCUGACGCAGCAACGCCGCGUGGGUGAUGAAGGCCUUCGGGUCGUAAAGCCCUGUCAGGUGGGAAGAAACCUGUGGAUGCUAAUAUCAUCCGCAAUUGACGGUACCGCCGAAGGAAGCACCGGCUAACUCCGUGCCAGCAGCCGCGGUAAUACGGAGGGUGCGAGCGUUGUUCGGAAUUAUUGGGCGUAAAGCGCGUGUAGGUGGUCGGGUAAGUCAGAUGUGAAAGCCUUCUGCUUAACAGAAGAAGUGCAUUUGAAACUGCUCGGCUAGAGUACGGGAGAGGAGAGUGGAAUUCCCGGUGUAGAGGUGAAAUUCGUAGAUAUCGGGAGGAACACCAGUGGCGAAGGCGGCUCUCUGGUCCGAUACUGACGCUGAGACGCGAAAGCGUGGGGAGCAAACAGGAUUAGAUACCCCAGUAGUCCU